rnacentral:lncRNA from 1 species
GUUAAAAUUAAAUUAAUCGUGAAGCUGCUGUCUUCCAUUAACUGCUGUGUCACUGUAAGAAAAUCUGCUCAUGCCACAAUAAAGGCAGAAACAGUUAUAAAGAAAUAUAGCAUGAACUGUCUAGCAUUUAUGCUAGGCAACAUAGUAUUAGAGUAGGAAAGGGAGCGUAUGACUCAGCUUCUAUCCAGAUGUACUCGUAAACAGAUUGAAUAUUUCUCAGAAGCUGGAAGGCAACAGAGUGCGUGCACUAAACCAAGUAUGAGAAUAGACUAGAGUAGUUCUGUUGGAAGGUACCUACAAAGAUCAAGUCCAACUGCCCGACCACUUCAGGGCUAACUAAAAGUUAAAGCAUAUUAAUGAGGGCAUUGUCCAAGUGCCUCUUGAUCACCAGCAGGCAUGGUGGCAACAGCCACCUCUCUAGGAAGCCUGUUCCAGUGUUUGACCACCCUCUCAGUAAAUAAGUUUUUCCUAAUGUCCAGCCUGAACCUCCAGUGUGGUUCAGCUUUGUGUUCCUGCAUGUCCUGUAAUCGGUUAUCAGGGAGAAGAGACCAGCACCUGCCUCGCUGUUUCCUCUUCUCAGGAAGUUGCAGGGAGCAAUGAGGUUGCCUCUCGGCCUCCUUUUCUCCAGACUGGGUAACCCAAGUGUCCUCAGCCUUCCCUGAGGAAGAAAGACUUCCUGUGAAAAUGGGUGUUGUUUAGCUUCCAGAUAAGAAGAAGCUAAGGUCCUGGAGCAUACAAUUCCGUGAUGAAGUCAGAUUCCCACAUAUCUGCAUUUGACUCCAAAGUGGAGUGUUUUAACGAACCAGAAGAGACCAUCCCUGGCCCUGGAGCAUACCAGGAUGACUCUUCUCUUAAUGGAAGUGUAAGGUCAGAGUCAGCAACCAGAGCCUCAGCAGCUGUUGCAACUCCCAAGGGACUUGUUCCUGCAGUCUUCAUAUUUACUGACUACUUCUGUCAGAGCUGAGGCUGGACCAGAAACACCGGUAUUCCUGCUGGAACUUAAGACAAUAGCGUUAAUAUGCAUAGCAGAUUGGUUAAAUGGUUGCUUUGAUUCCUUGCUAAAAAGGCAAUAGCAACUCCUGAGAAAAAAAGAUAUGCAUCAUGUUGAGAAAGUUUCUUUUCUGUUUUGUUAUUGUCUAUUCUGCCUGCUGUUUGGAAUGUGUAAAAUGAUUCUGACAAGCUUGAUAUGUGCCAAAACCCAGCAUGCCCACUGGUGGGAAGAUUAUCAUCACCCAGAUAUAAUAAAAAGCUUCUAGAAAAGUGCCUCUAAUGAUGG